rnacentral:lncRNA from 1 species
CAGCAGUGGAAAAGAAUGUUAAAUGCCUUCAUGACAGAAGUGAAGAUUGUAUCUGCACAAUAAACAGAGGAAGCAGAUAUAUUUUGCCAUCUCAGAGUUUUUGUCUAGCAAUUGUGGGACUUCUGGAUCUCCCUCCAAAUCAAAGUGACAAUGAAAGUUCCAGGGAUUGAACUCUGGACCUUCCACUUGCAAGGCAGGCGGCAGAACCACUCAGCUAAAUCCCUGACCCUUUACCAUUCCUUUUGAAAUAUAAUUAAACUCUUCUCUAAAAUCCCUGACUGUAACCAAGACUUUUAUUAUAAAAUUAUUUUUACUGUUUCCUAUUAAAAUAUUGCCUGUUCCUUAAACAACUUUUG